AAUUGGAGGGCAAGUCUGGUGCCAGCAGCCGCGGUAAUUCCAGCUCCAAUAGCGUAUAUUAAAGUUGUUGCAGUUAAAAAGCUCGUAGUUGAAUUUCGGGAUCAGCAGGUUGGUCGUGCCACUGGUAUGUACUGGCCUUGCUGAUUCCUCCCUCUUGAUGAGCCGUAAUGCCAUUAAUUUGGUGUUGCGGGGAAUCAGGACUGUUACUUUGAAAAAAUUAGAGUGUUUAAAGCAGGCAUGCGCUUGAAUACAUUAGCAUGGAAUAAUGAAAUAGGACGUUUGAUCCUAUUUUGUUGGUUUCUAGGAUUGACGUAAUGAUUAAUAGGGAUAGUUGGGGGCAUUAGUAUUCAAUUGUCAGAGGUGAAAUUCUUGGAUUUAUUGAAGACUAACUACUGCGAAAGCAUUUGCCAAGGAUGUUUUCAUUAAUCAAGAACGAAAGUUAGGGGAUCGAAGACGAUCAGAUACCGUCGUAGUCUUAACCAUAAACUAUGCCGACUAGGGAUCGGAUGAUGUUAAUUUUUUAAUGACUCAUUCGGCGCCUUACGGGAAACCAAAGUGU
rnacentral:rRNA from 1 species